rnacentral:rRNA from 1 species
UACAGAGGGUGCAAGCGUUAUUCGGAUUUACUGGGCAUAAAGGGCGCGUAGGUGGCUUUUUAAGUCUGAUGUGAAAGCCCUCGACUCAAUCGAGGAAGUGCAUUGGAUACUAUUAAGCUAGAGUAUGGGAGAGGAGAACGGAAUUCCUGGUGUAGAGGUGAAAUUCGUAGAUAUCAGGAGGAACAACGAAGGCGAAAGCAGUUCUCUGGACCAUUACUGACACUGAGGCGCGAAAGCGUGGGGAGCAAACAGG